rnacentral:rRNA from 1 species
UACGGGGGGGGCAAGCGUUGUUCGGAAUUACUGGGCGUAAAGGGCGCGUAGGCGGGCUACCAAGUCUGUGGUGAAAUCCUCCGGCUCAACCGGAGAACUGCCGUGGAUACUGGGAGCCUCGAGGGAGAUAGGGGCGUGCGGAACUGAUGGUGGAGCGGUGAAAUGCGUUGAUAUCAUCAGGAACUCCGGUGGCGAAGGCGGCACGCUGGAUCUCAUCUGACGCUGAUGCGCGAAAGCCAGGGGAGCAAACGGG